UACGGAGGGUGCAAGCGUUAUCCGGAUUCACUGGGUUUAAAGGGUGCGUAGGUGGGCAGUUAAGUCAGUGGUGAAAUCUCCGGGCUCAACCCGGAAACUGCCAUUGAUACUAUCUGUCUUGAAUAUCGUGGAGGUAAGCGGAAUAUGUCAUGUAGCGGUGAAAUGCUUAGAUAUGACUUAGAACACCAAUUGCGAAGGCAGCUCACUAAGCAGACAUUGACGCUGAGGCACGAAAGCGUGGGGAUCAAACAGG
rnacentral:rRNA from 1 species